GGAUAUAGCUCAGUUGGCAGAAUGCUUGCCUUGCAUGCACAGAGCCCUGGGUUCAAUCCCUAGCACCA
rnacentral:tRNA from 1 species